rnacentral:rRNA from 1 species
AUACGUAGGGGGCGAGCGUUGUCCGGAAUGAUUGGGCGUAAAGGGCGCGUAGGCGGCUUUGCAAGUCAGUAGUGGAAGUCCAUUUUUCAAGGAUGGAAGUGCUACAGAAACUGUGGUUCUUGAGUGAAGUAGAGGCAAGCGGAAUUCCUGGUGUAGCGGUGAAAUGCGUAGAUAUCAGGAGGAACACCGGUGGCGAAGGCGGCUUGCUGGGCUUUUACUGACGCUGAGGCUCGAAAGCGUGGGUAGCAAACAGGAUUAGAUACCCUGGUAGUCCACGCUGUAAACGAUGAUUACUAGGUGUGGGGGGACUGACCCCUUCCGUGCCGCAGUUAACACAAUAAGUAAUCCACCUGGGGAGUACGGCCGCAAGGUUGAAACUCAAAUGAAUUGACGGGG